rnacentral:lncRNA from 1 species
UGGCAUUUCAUUUUCUGAUUCUCACUUCAUGGUUCUAUUUAUGUUACAAUGAUUCAACGAAUUCCGAUGUAUGUUAAAAAAAAAAGGGAUGAUUAAAUUCUUGGCAUUAAAUAACAGCCACAGAUAAGCUACCCAUGGAAAACGUAAUGUUUACAUAGAGGGUAGCUAAUCCUUAUAGCAAGCUGGUUUCUUAAAUUUGAGGAUGGUUGGUCUUUGGGAGAUUUUCAUAGGCAAGAC